AUGAACGCUGGCGGCGUGCUUAACACAUGCAAGUCGAACGAUUAAGACGGCUUCGGCCGUGUAUAGAGUGGCGAACGGGUGAGUAACACGUGACCAACCUGCCCCGCGCUCCGGGACAACCGCUGGAAACGGCGGCUAAUACCGGAUGCUCCGGGGAGGCCCCAUGGCCUCCCCGGGAAAGCCUUAACGGCGCGGGAUGGGGUCGCGGCCCAUUAGGUAGACGGCGGGGUAACGGCCCACCGUGCCCGCGAUGGGUAGCCGGACUGAGAGGUCGACCGGCCACAUUGGGACUGAGAUACGGCCCAGACUCCUACGGGAGGCAGCAGUGGGGAAUUUUGCGCAAUGGGGGCAACCCUGACGCAGCAACGCCGCGUGCGGGACGAAGGCCUUCGGGUUGUAAACCGCUUUCAGCAGGGAAGACAUAGACGGUACCUGCAGAAGAAGCUCCGGCUAACUACGUGCCAGCAGCCGCGGUAAUACGUAGGGGGCGAGCGUUAUCCGGAUUCAUUGGGCGUAAAGCGCGCGUAGGCGGCCGCCUAAGCGGAACCUCUAAUCCCGGGGCUCAACCUCGGGCCGGGUUCCGGACUGGGCGGCUCGAGUGCGGUAGAGGCAGGCGGAAUUCCCGGUGUAGCGGUGGAAUGCGCAGAUAUCGGGAAGAACACCGAUGGCGAAGGCAGCCUGCUGGGCCGCCACUGACGCUGAGGCGCGAAAGCUGGGGGAGCGAACAGGAUUAGAUACCCUGGUAGUCCCAGCCGUAAACGAUGGGCGCUAGGUGUGGGGGGACAGUCCCCCCGUGCCGCAGCCAACGCAUUAAGCGCCCCGCCUGGGGAGUACGGCCGC
rnacentral:rRNA from 1 species